UACGUAGGUGGCAAGCGUUGUCCGGAUUUACUGGGCGUAAAGAGCGCGCAGGCGGUCGUUCAAGUCGCGUGUGAAAGCCCCCGGCUCAACUGGGGAGGGUCACGCGAUACUGAUCGACUCGAAGGCAGGAGAGGGUAGUGGAAUUCCCGGUGUAGUGGUGAAAUGCGUAGAUAUCGAGAGGAACACCUGCGGCGAAGGCGGGUUGCUGGGCCGACACUGACGCUGAUGCGCGAAAGCCAGGGGAGCGAACGGG
rnacentral:rRNA from 1 species